GGGAACAAAUCCAACCUCUGGUGACGUACCAUUGAUUUAAAAUUCUCAAAUAGAUCAGUGACUGAAGAUCCCAACCAGGCAUGAACUUCAAAUGGCUCUGCAUCCUGUCUCUUGUCUUCAUUAUGGGAUUCAGCACCCUGGCAGAAGCCCGGUUCCGUCUACCACCUCGGCGUCCACAGCGUCCACAGCGUCCACGCCCAUCACGAGGAAGUUGUAAUGUAUCUCCAAGACUGAGACGAGAAUGUGGAUGGCCAGGGAUAUCUCAAAGCACAUGCAGAAACAGAGGGUGCUGUUUUAGCGGUGCGAUCAGAAAUGCCAAAUGGUGUUUCCAUUCGAGAUGAUUGGAAUAAAUUGAAAUUCAGGACUGAACUCACAAUGGCAAUGGAAUCCAUGGAAGAGAAAAGAUUAUGGCAUUGCAGUUCAUUAUUUCCUGCUCUCUAAUUCCCCUCCUGCAAUUUCUUGCUUUUAUUUGUGUGCGAUAUGAAAGAAAUUAGGGUAAAUCUGCAUUUAAUUAGAUUUUUUUCA